rnacentral:rRNA from 1 species
CUACGGGCUGCACCAGUGGGGAAUAUUGCACAAUGGACGAAAGUCUGAUGCAGCAACGCCGCGUGGAGGAUGACACAUUUCGGUGCGUAAACUCCUUUUAUAUAGGAAGAUAAUGACGGUACUAUAUGAAUAAGCGCCGGCUAACUCCGUGCCAGCAACCGCGGUAAUACGGAGGGCGCAAGCGUUACUCGGAAUCACUGGGCGUAAAGAGCGUGUAGGCGGAUAGAUAAGUCAGGAGUGAAAUCCUAUGGCUCAACCAUAGAACUGCUCUUGAAACUGUCUAUCCAGAAUAUGGGAGAGGUAGAUGGAAUUUCUGGUGUAGGGGUAAAAUCCGUAGAGAUCAGAAGGAAUACCGAUUGCGAAGGCGAUCUACUGGAACAUUAUUGACGCUGAGACGCGAAAGCGUGGGGAGCAAACAGGAUUAGAUACCCUCGUAGUC